CAAUAGCGUAUAUUAAAGUUGUUGCAGUUAAAAAGCUCGUAGUUGGAUUUCUGGUGGGAGCGAUCGGUCUGGCGCUUAGCGCGAGUACUUGCAUCGUCUCCGGCCAUCCUUGGGGAAAGUCUGUCUGGCAUUAAGUUGUCGGGCAGAGGAUCCUCAUCGUUUACUGUGAAAAAAUUAGAGUGUUCAAAGCAGGCUUAUGCCGUUGAAUAUAUUAGCAUGGAAUAAUAAGAUAGGACUUUGGUACUAUUUUGUUGGUUUGCGCGCCAAAGUAAUGAUUAAUAGGGACAGUUGGGGGUAUUCGUAUUCCGUUGUCAGAGGUGAAAUUCUUGGAUUUACGGAAGACGAACUACUGCGAAAGCAUUUACCAAGGAUGUUUUCAUUAA
rnacentral:rRNA from 1 species